CAACCUUUGGACCACGUCUUCUCUGCUUCUGUCCUGGACCUGUCAGCUUGGCUGUUAUUUAGCUCAAGUUUGAAUCUGCAUCAUCAGCCUUCCACGGGAACCGAGUCUCAGAUAACCACAGGACCCUGAGCUACGAAGACCCUGAUGCUGCUUUCUCAAUUGAGGAUUUUUUUUCUAUGUUUAGAGCUGGAUGUGAGGAUGUUUGGAACUUAAUGCCUUCUUUUUAAUGGACAGUUAACCCAAAACAUAGAGUCCCUGAACAGCAUCGAGAAUCCUUCUUCACCAAUGCACGGCAUCAGACUCCUGGGGCCGCGAGCACCAGGCCCACACACCAGACCAGGCCCACACGAACGGAGGAGUCUCUCACACCUGGUGCCAGGAAUCGAAGUGAACUUUGAGGACCAGGUCUUCUAAACAGCAAGGAUCACGACGGCCAAUCAGAAGAGGCCGCAGGGUAUCAGCAGCACGGGGAGCGGGCCUCCGGGGUUUUCGCCCUGUCCUCCUGGGAGCUAACCUUUACAUGACCUUUGCACUUGCCUCUGCUCCUGCUUCCUCAGCCUCUCCUGCCUCUGAAGCCAUCGCCCCCACUCAGCUCCUCCGAGCACCUCUGCUAAAUUUUUACCUGGGAUGCUGCCCGAGCACAGAAUAUGGCUCUGGGCAAUCGUAGUAAAGCUCCUGACCAGACAGAAAGAUCCACCUGCAGAUGGCCGGAGACGCACGUCUGGGCUGUGUUUGCCCUGGUCCGCGGCACCGUCCUUUAACUUCCAGGUGUUACGUGUAAGCCAGGAAUUCCCACACCCAGCGAGGCUCUCUAGCUGCUCCCUGCAAGUUCGGGAAGUAUUCCAGGCUCUGCAGUCCUGCGGUGCGGGCAUCCUGGAGACCAAAGCCGGGGUCACUCUGAAGAUUAGCUGUGGUCUGUGGGCCGCAGCUCCACACAACAUCAGGCUCCUUGGGUCGGCAGAAGGUGGCAGAAGAUCCUGCUUGAAAAGUGCCCGGGAGGCUGCAAUCUAGAAGACUUUCUAGUCACUCAGAAACAUCCGAGUCCUCUGUGAACCUCGACGAUUUGGAGACGACUCUUGCUAACUUUUCAGAGACAGACGACUACGUUUGUGCCUGUUUGGCCUCUGACUUGUGCAAGAGGGAUUCAGUUGCUUAUUUAUGUUGAGUUCGGGUGAAGCGAGCUGUGAGCCUGGUAGACACCAGCACAGGGGAAGACUUCCUGAGGGAGGUGGGAUUCGAGUGUGGCCUUCAAGAACCAAGGGCAUCGCCAGAGGGGAG
rnacentral:lncRNA from 1 species